AUUGAACGCUGGCGGCAGGCUUAACACAUGCAAGUCGAGCGGAGAUGAGGUGCUUGCACCUUAUCUUAGCGGCGGACGGGUGAGUAAUGCUUAGGAAUCUGCCUAUUAGUGGGGGACAACAUUCCGAAAGGAAUGCUAAUACCGCAUACGCCCUACGGGGGAAAGCAGGGGAUCUUCGGACCUUGCGCUAAUAGAUGAGCCUAAGUCGGAUUAGCUAGUUGGUGGGGUAAAGGCCUACCAAGGCGACAAUCUGUAGCGGGUCUGAGAGGAUGAUCCGCCACACUGGGACUGGAACACGGCCCAGACUCCUACGGGAGGCGGCAGUGGGGAAUAUUGGACAAUGGGCGGAAGCCUGAUCCAGCCAUGCCGCGUGUGUGAAGAAGGCCUUUUGGUUGUAAAGCACUUUAAGCGAGGAGGAGGCUACCUGGAUUAAUACUCUAGGAUAGUGGACGUUACUCGCAGAAUAAGCACCGGCUAACUCUGUGCCAGCCGCCGCCGUAAGAC
rnacentral:rRNA from 1 species